GGGAGUGUAGCUCAGUGGCAGAGCAUUUGUCUAGUAUAUAUGAAGCUUUGGGUUCAACCCCCUGCACCUA
rnacentral:tRNA from 1 species